CAAGGGACAGGACAAGGGGAAAAGGCCCCAAGUUGCACCAGGGGAGGCUCAGAUUGGAUAUCAGGAGGAAUUUCUUCAUGGAAAGGAUUUUUAAACAUUGGAAGGGGCUGCCCAGGGAGGUGGUGCAGUCCUCAUCCCUGGAGGUGUCCAAGGAAUGACUGGCCAUGGCACUCAGUGCUCUGGGCUGGGUGACAAGAUGGGGAUCAGUCACAAGUUGGACUUGAUGAUCUUGGAGGUCUCUUCCAACCUAAAUCAUUCUUGGAUUUACAUUGAUUCAGCUGAGCAGAUACAGCAAAGCCCUGGGUGCUCCAAGCACGUCCUUCCUGAGCUGAAAACACCCUUUUCUUCCACUCUCUGCACUCUCAGGGUCAUGGGGACAACAGAAUCUUUUCUUUUUCCCUCUGCAGCAUCCCAGACAACUCAGCCUGGAAAAUGGAUUGCUGAGGUGAUAUGAUGGAAGUUUGAGAUCUAUUAGCCUGGAAAAUCAUGGAAUGACACGAUAGAUAAUACUGUAAAUUCAGGAAGAAUUUCUUCAUGGAAAGGGUUGUCAAACAUUGGAAGGGGCUGCCCAGGGAGGUGGUGGAGUCCUCAUCCCUGGAGGUGUCCCAGGAAUGACUGGACGUGGCACUCAGUGCUCUGGGCUGGGUGAGAAGGUGGGGAUCAGUCACAAGUUGGACUUGAAGAUCUUGAAGGUCUUUUCCAUCCUAAGUGAUUCUAUGAAAUGCAAAAAGAUCCAGAAAAUCCGACCUACAGCACCUGUUGCCUCAGAGAUGUCACAUAAGAAGAAGGAAUAACCUGCUUUUAUUUCAAUAAAAGGACUAUUAAAUUCCA
rnacentral:lncRNA from 1 species